rnacentral:rRNA from 1 species
AUUGAACGCUGGCGGCAGGCCUAACACAUGCAAGUCGAACGAGUGGCGGACGGGUGAGUAAUGUCUGGGAAACUGCCCGAUGGAGGGGGAUAACUACUGGAAACGGUAGCUAAUACCGCAUACCAUCGGAUGUGCCCAGAUGGGAUUAGCUAGUAGGUGGGGUAACGGCUCACCUAGGCGACGAUCCCUAGCUGGUCUGAGAGGAUGACCGGCCAAACUGGAACUGAGACACGGGCCAGACUCCUACGGGAGACAGCAGUGGGGAAUAGUGGACAAUGGGCGCAAGCCUGAUGCAGCCAUGCCGCGUGGAUGAAGAAGGCCUUCGGGUUGUAAGGUACUUUCAGCGAGGAGGCGUUACUCGCAGAAGAAGCACCGGCUAACUACGUGCCAGCAGCCGCGGUAAUUC